AUGGGCUUAUUUUAAAACUAGAAAAACCUGUUCAAACUCUUGUAGUAUUGCAGGCAGCAAAGAAAAUUCACCUUCGGCUCACAGUGUCAGAGCUGUAAAUGUUUUCAGUUUUUUGUACUUUAAUUGGAUGGAAAAAAAGAAAAACCUCAAGAAAAAUACAAGAGGAAACGUCUGCAUCUGAUGCCAUCUCUUACAUGUUUCAGUCAUCUUGAUACUCGCGGUCCUCAAAUGUGUGAAACAGCGCCCCCCUCGAAGACAACGCAAUGUAAAGGCCAGUGCGUGUGUGGUGGAAGCGGGUAUUGCACCCGCGCUGUGAGUUCUGCGUGAGGGAAAACAGGUGAAGUUGACGUCCUUUGAUUAAAAUAGUUUCAGCCAUUUAUAUUUAUGCAGCAAGGAAACUGAAUGGUUUUGAAAACAGGCUGUAUCUGCUGUUUUUUUUUUACUGCAAAACCAUAAAGUGUUGGCAUUCAAAUGAAGCACCUGGGAGAGGUGGCUUAUUUUUUUUUUUUUAUUAUUUAUUUAUAUGUGGUAUUUAGCUAGUUUGACUAGUUAGCAGUUGAGUGAUGGAGGACAACAAACGAAAAAUAAAGCCAAAAGAAGUCUAGCCAUUUGCUACAAAUACUUUACGUUUUUAUCAACCAGUUAGGUUUUAUAUUUUUGGAUGUAUUUUCAUACUUUUCCAGGCAGCCAUUUGUUUCCAUUCAUUUCCUUAUGGUUUCAGUUUGAAUGCAGUUUAAUAACAGACUGACUUGAAAAGUUUGGGGUAAAGUUGGCAAAAAGCUGACUUGAUCUUCACUGUGAUUGUGUUUCCAAUUUUCUGAUUUUCAUACCAUUUGGGAAUGAAUGGAAACCAUGGAUCUAAAAAUCUAAAACUGCAAUUGAACUCAACACCUUGCUGCCAUGAAGGAGAGUUUAUCUUCACAAACUCUGGUUUUAUUAAUGGCCAGAUGUCCUGCUGUAGCUUUGUUCCUAAACAUGCUGGACAAUAUGUGUGAUUAUGUGAUCAUCUUGCUUAAAUGUAUUAGACCUUGUUUGUCGGGAUUUAACUGUUAUAUCUGUUAUGUCUGUUAUAUCUAGGCCUAUUUAAGUUAUUAUAUCACUUGGAUGCUAUCGAUAAUAGUUAUAGCCCAAUAUCAUUAAUAUAAUAAUUUGCGUCAGGGGGCUUUAUAAUCUGUACAGCAAUACAACAUCUUGAAUUUGGGGAUGGUGGGGUGAAAAAUGGAAGAACCCUCAGGAGGAGCAACAGAGGAUGGAUCCUGAUCUAUGACUGUGCUGUCCUAUAUUGCUGUCAGAGUGAACCCACCCAUUUCUGGCAUUCACUUCUCAUAAAGUUUGACAAAUGUUAAAGGCGACCCUUUCAGUGAUCUAUCAGGAGAGAAAAAGUUUUAAUCUAUUUCCAUAAAAGUGAAUAAAACAUACAUGCAAAAUCUAAGAUGAGGCUAAUUUCUUUUUUACCUUGCAAGGCAGCUGGAUUCACAAGAUCACGUUUAUUAAAUCAGGUCAAAUUUCUUCAUCUGAGCUCAGAGCCCUCACUAAAGGCUGGAAGCUUCAUUACAACAAUACUGAUGUUGGACUACUUCUUCUAGUAGAUUUUUACUUGAAGAUCUUGGAGCAGGGUGGUUUACAUGUUACUUACUGUCUGCACCAUCUGGCUGGUUAAAGAAUGAGCAAGCAGAUGAAAUAGAGGUCAAAGUGGGAAUAACAGGGCAAGGUGAAGGCAUGGGAAGGUUACAGUGGUCAUUAGGCUAACCACAGUGUGGAGCUGACGGGACCAGUGGUGUGUGAGAGCGGUUUCAGGGCGUCUUUAACCUCGCACAGGCUCAGAAAUAGCUGUCAUCAACUGUUGCUUUACUGCUUUGUUCCCACACAUUCUCCCUUUUUUCCUCCUUCAGGUGAGUAGCCGAGUAGAUGAGAAGGAUGUCAUCAUCGUCUCUCUCACCUCCUCUCUCCCCUCUCUCUCUCCCUCUCUUUUUCCCAGAAGGCCAUGUGAAUAUUUGCUUCCACAGAGGUGACCACUCCAAGGGCAAACGUUGCAAAGUGCUCUUGCCCUGUCGACUUCACAUAUCCUGCAGCCAAUAAAAAUGAUGAUGCGGAAUUAUUGUUUAAUGAAAGAAAUCAGUCUCCCUCAGGUGGAAUGACAGACUCCAGUGCAGGUGCUCUGCUGUUAAAGCCUUUUAAUUGCAUCACUUCCCAUCCAUGGGCAAAUUACAAACCUGUCUGCUGUGAGAGAAACUCACUCAGAUGCAAACCCAUCUUGUCUCCCAUGUGGCUUCCAGUGUGCAAAGACACUCAGAGAAAGAGGAUUUCUUAAGGCUUUAAAGAUGCAGACUUAAAAACGGACGUAAAAGAUGACGACAAACAAAAAAAAAGAGAAACAACUUUGUUACUUUUGUAUAUUGUGUAUAUAGCAUAGUCUUGAAUAUAUCCAUUUAUAUAGUAACAUUUUAUGUAUACAAAGAUCAUUAAAUACAAACUUCAUUUCCCAUUGUAUUAUAACAAGUUCCUCAUUAGCAUAUUAACAUGCAGGUAUUUGCUUUAACAGCAUCGUGUAGCAUUUAGCGUGUUAUAGUAUGAUAAUGUAUGUGCAGCUAGGAUAUUAGCAUGUUAGCUUUUGUGUUAGCAAACGCAUAUUACUAGGAAAUAUAACAUCACAUUACCAUGUGUACAAUUACCAUAUUUCCUUUUGAAGGGAUGCAACUAAUGAUUAUUUUCAUUAUAAAUGAAUCUGCCAAUUAUUUUGUUAUUUAAUAGCUUUGUCUAUAAAACGUGGUAAAAUAGUGAAAAGCGCCCGUUACAAUUUCCCAGGGUCAAAGGUCACGUCUUUUAAUGUUUUAUUUUGUCCGACCAACGGUUCAAAACCCAAAG